GCCUGGGUGGCUCAGUGGUUGAGCAUCUGCCUUCGGCUCAGGUCGUGAUCCCGAGGUCCUGGGAUCAAGUCCCACAUCGGGCU
rnacentral:tRNA from 1 species